UACGUAGGGCGCAAGCGUUGUCCGGAAUUAUUGGGCGUAAAGAGCUCGUAGGCGGUCUGUUACGUCCGCUGUGAAAACCCAGGGCUUAACCCUGGGCUUGCAGUGGAUACGGGUAGACUAGAGGCAGGUAGGGGAGAAUGGAAUUCCCGGUGUAGCGGUGAAAUGCGCAGAUAUCGGGAGGAACACUGGUGGCGAAGGCGGUUCUCUGGGCCUGACCUGACGCUGAGGAGCGAAAGCGUGGGGAGCGAUCCGG
rnacentral:rRNA from 1 species